UGGGCCGAUGCCCGAGUGGUUAAUGGGGGCGGAUUGUAAAUCCGCUGGUUACGCCUACGUUGGUUCGAAUCCGACUCGGCCCAA
rnacentral:tRNA from 1 species